AGUUUGAUCCUGGCUCAGAACGAACGCUGGCGGCAGGCUUAACACAUGCAAGUCGAGCGAGACCUUCGGGUCUAGCGGCGGACGGGUGAGUAACGCGUGGGAACGUGCCCUUCUCUACGGAAUAGCCCCGGGAAACUGGGAGUAAUACCGUAUACGCCCUUUGGGGGAAAGAUUUAUCGGAGAAGGAUCGGCCCGCGUUGGAUUAGGUAGUUGGUGGGGUAAUGGCCCACCAAGCCGACGAUCCAUAGCUGGUUUGAGAGGAUGAUCAGCCACACUGGGACUGAGACACGGCCCAGACUCCUACGGGAGGCAGCAGUGGGGAAUCUUAGACAAUGGGGGCAACCCUGAUCUAGCCAUGCCGCGUGAGUGAUGAAGGCCUUAGGGUUGUAAAGCUCUUUCAGCUGGGAAGAUAAUGACGGUACCAGCAGAAGAAGCCCCGGCUAACUCCGUGCCAGCAGCCGCGGUAAU
rnacentral:rRNA from 1 species